rnacentral:misc_RNA from 1 species
GAAAUGCGAUAAGUAAUGUGAAUUGCAGAAUUCAGUGAAUCAUCGAAUCUUUGAACGCACCUUGCGCUCCUUGGUAUUCCUUGGAGCAUGCCUGUUUGAGUAUCAUGAAAUCUUCAAAGUAAAUCUUUUGUUAACUCAAUUGGCUUCUACUUUGGUAUUGGAGGUCUUUGCAGCUUCACACCUGCUCCUCUUUGUUCAUUAGCUGGAUCUCAGUGUUAUGCUUGGUUCCACUCGGCGUGAUAAGUUAUCUAUCGCUGAGGACACUGUAAAAGGUGGCCAAGGUAAAUGCAGAUGAACCGCUUCUAAUAGUCCAUUGACUUGGACAAUACUUUUAUGAUCUGAUCUCAAAUCAGGUAUGCCUACCCGCUGAACUUAAGC